rnacentral:rRNA from 1 species
UAAGGGUCUCACAAAACCCGAGGGCGAAGUGAAAGCAAAGGUGUGGCGGCGUUUUGCUGCGCCGUCAGCCAGUUGUUGCUAGUACCGAGCUGAUCCUGUUUUCCCUUGUGGAGCAGGCGCAAGCUCCGGGCUCACGAGCGUUCGAAUUGGCUUUAUUCGAACUGUGAGCGCCGUGGAGCACAUAUGCUAUGACCCGAAAGAUAGUGAACUAUGCCCAGCGAGGGUUGAAGCCCCAGGAAACUGGGGUGGAGGCCCGUAGCCUUUUUGCCUCUAUGGCGUCAGUUGGGCAUAGGG